GUUUAUAAUGUGGGAAAAGGGGAACUAAACUAGCUAGGUAUUUGACGAUGGUUGUCAAAGGAAAUAACACGUUCGCGUUAAUUAUAGCUGUAUUGAAACGUACUUUUACUUCCCCAAAUCUUGCAACCUCUCAACGUUACUUAACCCUCACGGUCUUGUGACCAGUUUAUUUGGUCGGAUAUAAUACGUGCGCAAAUGAGUGACACGUGCUUGUUAGUUUGCUGGCUAAAACGAGGUUAGUCAUGUCUGUUUGACUUGCAGCAUACUGUGUUUGUUGGAAAUUGCGUAUGGUAUAUGUUAUUUUAAAUGCAACUGCAACUUCAUUCAAUGCCUCUUUAAAAAAAAAAAAAUGUGUUCAUAUUAUUGCGUCCAGUCAUUUUAAUAUGGGACCUCACUCUUCCCGUAAUGUUACGGCAAUAUUCUUAUUGAAAGACGAAAAUGAUUUAAGUGAUGUGGAAGAAAACUGGGAUCACGUGUUCAACUGCAUGGCUGCUGUUUACGUGCAGUCUGUGCAGAGCAGUAUGAAGGUGGGAUUCGGUACUGUCUGUUUACUACACUGCUCAGACCUGUGUAAACUCGCUGAGAGAACUGGCUGGUGAAAUUCACAUUCAAAACUGCUCAUGUAAAGUGCUGUGUUGGGAACCAAUUGCCAAUUAACUUUGCUGGGGCAGUUGAUCUGCUAUAUAUGGAAAACAUGCCACAUUAUGUAAGCUAAGUAGCCAUAGUGAUGGGAGUUAUGGUUGUCAAAUUUGGCACAACAUUUUUGAGCGGAAAAGCAACAACAAGCUCCUCUUAACCUAUGACCUAUUGGUGGGCGGGCCAGAUUCAGGGUGAUGAUUGGGGAGGAGAGAGGGAGACACCCUCUGGGCGCCACCACAGCUUCUCUGGUGCAUUUCAGGAAUACUGUAGGAACAUUCUGUUCUAGCCAAGUGGAGAGUGAAAAAAUCCAGAAAAGAGCUGUUAAAUUCUACAGCCACCCAAAAGGAAGCGAUUCCCAAACCUUCCAUAACAAAGCCAACACCUACAGACGGAUGAACCUUGAGAAAAGUCCCCAAAGCAAGCUGGUCCUGGGUCUCUGUUCAAACACACCCCACAGAGCCCCAGGACAGCAACACAUUUAGACCCAACCAAAUCAGGAGAAGACAAAGAUUAUUACUUGAAACAUUGCUUAGUUUUUUUUUGUUUAUUCUUUCCAAACUAGAAUGCUCUUUGUCCCAAAACAGAGUACAGCAUUGCAGAAUUCCAGACCACUGACUGACCCAAAAUUUAAGGAGAGCUAUGACUAUGUACAGACUUGGAACACGCAUCAUCUACGACAGGAAGUUCCUGCUGGACUGUCGGAACUCUCCCAUUGCCCGGACUCCUCCAUGCUGCCUGCCCCAGAUCCCAGGGGUGACGGUGCCCGCUCUGCACCCUCUGGGCAAACUACAGGAACUUAAAGAGGAGCUGGAGGAGGAGGAGAAGGACCUGGGAGAUGACAGCCAGUUUGAGAUGGACAUCUGAGCAGCAGCGCAUUGCCUCCUGUGGAGAGAACUGUUUUAUCUUCUAUUCUGACGUCUGAUUGGUCCUUUACAACCAGCAUGCGUCACAUUCACCUUCUUCAACUUCCUUUUUUAAAACCUUUUUGUUGUUGAGGAAACCCCCCAAAAUAAAGAGAAUGGGGACAUGUCGAUCCCUGUGUUAGUAUUAUUUUUAGCACCAGUAUGCGUCAAUGGUUGCAGAUUAGUGUCUGAGCUGCAGGGUUGGAAGAACCAAUACAUUUGUUUGGACUGUUUUUGGUUUGUACAUAAGAGUACAGUACUUUGUAUUUUUUAAAAGGAGAGAGAUGUACGAGAUUUUACAUGAAACAUACAGGGACGGAGGGGUUGGUCAAGACGUCUGACCCUGGCAUAAGGUUAAAGGUCAGAGGUUGGGGUGACUGUUGGACAGGCUCUUCCAUGCAUCUACCUGUGGAGGAGGAACUGAAAUGUAUCAAAGUUCAAAAUAAAAAUCAGUAUAAAACCUAAA
ensembl:lncRNA